AAGACCUUACUUCAUAGGAUCAUUUUUAUAGUUAGUUCUUCACGAGACACGUGUAUAGUUAAACAAGGAUAAUAUCUGGUCUUGU